UGGGGAAUAUUGCACAAUGGGCGCAAGCCUGAUGCAGCCAUGCCGCGUGUAUGAAGAAGGCCUUCGGGUUGUAAAGUACUUUCAGUCGGGAGGAAGGUGUCAAGGUUAAUAACCUUGGCAAUUGACGUUACCGACAGAAGAAGCACCGGCUAACUCCGUGCCAGCAGCCGCGGUAAUACGGAGGGUGCAAGCGUUAAUCGGAAUUACUGGGCGUAAAGCGCACGCAGGCGGUUGAUUGAGUCAGAUGUGAAAUCCCCGGGCUUAACCCGGGAAUUGCAUCUGAUACUGGACAGCUAGAGUCUUGUAGAGGGGGGUAGAAUUCCAUGUGGAGCGGUGAAAUGCGUAGAGAUGUGGAGGAAUACCGGUGGAGAAGGCGGCCCCCUGGACAAAGACUGACGCUCAGGUGCGAAAGCGUGGGGAGCAAACAGG
rnacentral:rRNA from 1 species